rnacentral:rRNA from 1 species
UACGGGGGGAGCAAGCGUUGUUCGGAUUUACUGGGCGUAAAGCGCGCGCAGGCGGCCUUUUAAGUCUGGCGGUGAAAUGCCGGGGCUCAACCCCGUUGCAUGCCGCGGAUACUGGGAGGCUGGAGACGAGUAGAGGCAAGCGGAAUUCCGGGUGUAGCGGUGGAAUGCGUAGAGAUCCGGAAGAACACCGGAGGCGAAGGCGGCUUGCUGGGCUUGGUCUGACGCUGAGGCGCGAAAGCGUGGGGAGCGAACAGG